AGUGCUGGGAUUACAGGCAUGAGCCACCACGCCUGGCCAGAGUUGUCUUGAUAGAGGUCUUGUAAUUAUUUGAAUUAGAAAAUUUUCUGUUAAAAUAUGUCCACAAAUUCUUUGGUAACCCUCCCUUCAAGAAGUGAAGCCUAAAUCCCUUCCCUUCCAGUGUGAGCUAGACUUAGUGACUCAGUUCUAUGAGUAAAAGUGGUGGAACUGAUAGUGUGACUUCUGAGACUAGGUCAUAAUAGGCAUUGUGGCUUCCUCCUUGCUCUCCCUCUCAGAUCACUUGCUCUGGGGGAAACCAGCAGCCAUGUUGUGAGGACACCCAAGCAGCUCUAUGGAGAGGCCUACAUGGAGAGUAACCAAGGUCCCCUAUCAAUAGCCAGCAAGGAACAGAAGCCUCCUGCCAACAGUCACGUAGCACGCAUACUUUCCCCAAGAUAGAAGCCCUGGGCCUGGGGGAUUGAGGUGUGGAGAUCUACCUGUCUCACGGCUGCUUGUGACCAUGCAUCUGACUGCCAAUGCUCUGGAGAGCAGAGAGCUCAGUUGAGGUCUGUCAAGAGUCCACUGCAGCUGCUUCACAUUUAAACGGCACGUACAAGAUUAUGAAGCUUUCCUGGCUGCCGAGGAGCUCAGCAGACUUGUUUAAAACUGAGACUGGUGACUGAACGAAAAAAAAUGUGACAGAAACCUGUACUGGGGCCCUUACCUGGGCCAGGCCAGGAUGAGGGAUACAUAGGUCAACAUCCUACGGAGCCUUUCACCAGGAGCUCAGAGCAGAGACCGUCAUUAAGCUUCCAAAGAAAUGAAAUGCCCAAGAAUGCAUCUGGC
rnacentral:lncRNA from 1 species